rnacentral:tRNA from 1 species
GGCCCGUUGGUCAAGUGGUUAAGACACCGCCCUUUCACGGCGGUAACAUGGGUUCAAAUCCCGUACGGGUCAUC